rnacentral:tRNA from 1 species
GCCGCGGUGGUGAAAUUGGUAAACACGCUACGUUCAGAACGUAGUUCUCGCAAGGGGUUGGGAGUUCGAGUCUCCCCCGCGGCACAA